rfam:Haemonchus contortus, ISE/inbred ISE, WGS project CAVP01000000 data, contig: Hcontortus_contig_pathogens_Hcontortus_scaffold_23008
UCCCUGGUGGUCCAGUGGUUACAACUCUGAGCUUCCAAUGCAGGGGGCACAGGUUUGAUCCCUGGUUAGGGAA